rnacentral:misc_RNA from 1 species
AACAAUAACACCUCUUUAUCUCUCCCAUUUCCCCACCAGUUAAGGUGGGGUUAUUUUUUGU